rnacentral:piRNA from 1 species
AAUUUUUUGAGGUCCUGCUCCUG